GACGAACGCUGGCGGCGUGCCUAAUACAUGCAAGUCGAGCGAAGUUUUUCUGGUGCUUGCACUAGAAAAACUUAGCGGCGAACGGGUGAGUAACACGUAAAGAACCUGCCUCAUAGACUGGGACAACUAUUGGAAACGAUAGCUAAUACCGGAUAACAGUAUUUCUCGCAUGAGAGAUAUUUAAAAGUUGGCUAUGCUAACACUAUGGGAUGGCUUUGCGGUGCAUUAGCUAGUUGGUGGGGUAAAGGCCCACCAAGGCGACGAUGCAUAGCCGACCUGAGAGGGUGAUCGGCCACACUGGGACUGAGACACGGCCCAGACUCCUACGGGAGGCAGCAGUAGGGAAUCUUCCGCAAUGGGCGAAAGCCUGACGGAGCAACGCCGCGUGAGUGAAGAAGGAUUUCGGUUCGUAAAGCUCUGUUGUUAGGGAAGAAUGGAUAUGUAGUAACUAUACAUGUAAGAGACGGUACCUAACCAGAAAGCCACGGCUAACUACGUG
rnacentral:rRNA from 1 species